CCUACGGGAGGCAGCAGUGGGGAAUAUUGGACAAUGGGCGAAAGCCUGAUCCAGCCAUGCCGCGUGUGUGAAGAAGGCCUUCGGGUUGUAAAGCACUUUCAGUGGGGAAGAAAGCCUUGGGGCUAAUACCCUCGAGGAAGGACAUCACCCACAGAAGAAGCACCGGCUAACUCCGUGCCAGCAGCCGCGGUAAUACGGAGGGUGCGAGCGUUAAUCGGAAUUACUGGGCGUAAAGCGCGCGUAGGCGGUCUGAUAAGCCGGUUGUGAAAGCCCCGGGCUCAACCUGGGAACGGCAUCCGGAACUGUCAGGCUAGAGUGCAGGAGAGGAAGGUAGAAUUCCCGGUGUAGCGGUCAAAUGCGUAGAGAUCGGGAGGAAUACCAGUGGCGAAGGCGGCCUUCUGGACUGACACUGACGCUGAGGUGCGAAAGCGUGGGUAGCAAACAGGAUUAGAUACCCGUGUAGUC
rnacentral:rRNA from 1 species